rnacentral:rRNA from 1 species
GACGAACGCUGGCGGCGCGCCUAACACAUGCAAGUCGAACGGAGUCAAGAGGAGCUUGCUUUUCUUGACUUAGUGGCGAACGGGUGAGUAACGCGUGAGUAACCUGCCCUGGAGUGGGGGACAACAGUUGGAAACGACUGCUAAUACCGCAUAAGCCCACGGAUCUGCAUGGAUCUGCGGGAAAAGGAUUUAUUCGCUCUAGGAUGGACUCGCGUCCAAUUAGCUAGUUGGUGAGGUAACGGCCCACCAAGGCGACGAUUGGUAGCCGGACUGAGAGGUUGAACGGCCACAUUGGGACUGAGACACGGCCCAGACUCCUACGGGAAGCAGCAGUGGGGGAUAUUGCACAAUGGGGGAAACCCUGAUGCAGCGACGCCGCGUGGAGGAAGAAGGUUUUCGGAUUGUAAACUCCUGUCGUUAGGGACGAUAAUGACGGUACCUAACAAGAAAGCACCAGCUAACUACGUG